rnacentral:rRNA from 1 species
GUCUAUGGCCAUACCACCCUGAAUGUGCCUGAUCUUGGAAACUAAGCAGAGUCGGGUCUGGUUAGUACUUGGAACAGGAGAACAACUUAAAUUCUCAACUAGUUAUGGAUC